rnacentral:misc_RNA from 1 species
GAUGAAGAACGUAGCGAAAUGCGAUACGUAAUGUGAAUUGCAGAAUUCAGUGAAUCAUCGAGUCUUUGAACGCACAUUGCGCCCGCCAGUAUUCUGGCGGGCAUGCCUGUUCGAGCGUCAUUUCAACCCUCAGGCCCCCAGUGCCUGGCGUUGGGGAUCGGCGUGGGCGGCGAACGGCUCUCCGGAGCCCGAGCCAAUGCCUGCCGGCCCCGAAAUUCAGUGGCGGUCUCGCUGUAGUCCCCCUCUGCGUAGUAGCACAACUCGCAUUGGAGCUCGGCGGUGGCCAUGCCGUAAAACACCCCACUUCUGAAAGUUGACCUCGGAUCAGGUAGGAAUACCCGCUGAACUUAAGCAUAUCAAUAAGCGGAGGA